GGGCAAGCGUUAUCCGGAUUUACUGGGUGUAAAGGGAGCGUAGACGGCGUGCCAAGUCUGGUGUGAAAGGCCGGGGCUCAACCCCGGGAGUGCAUUUGAAACUGUCCAGCUGGAGUGCAGGAGAGGUAAGCGGAAUUCCUAGUGUAGCGGUGAAAUGCAUAGAUAUUAGGAGGAACACCAGUGGCGAAGGCGGCUUACUGGACUGUAACUGACACUGAGGCUCGAAAGCGUGGGGAGCAAACAG
rnacentral:rRNA from 1 species